rnacentral:rRNA from 1 species
UACGAAGGGGGGCUAGCGUUACUCGGAUUGACUGGGCGUAAAGGGCGCGUAGGCGGUUUGUACAGUCAGACGUGAAAUUCCUGGGCUCAACCUGGGGGCUGCGUUUGAUACGUGCGGACUUGAGUUCGGAAGAGGGUCGUGGAAUUCCCAGUGUAGAGGUGAAAUUCGUAGAUAUUGGGAGGAACACCGAUGGCGAAGGCAGGUCUCUGGGCAUUAACUGACGCUGAGGAGCGAAAAGCAUGGGGAGCGAACAGG